CCUACGGGAGGCAGCAGUGGGGAAUAUUGCUCAAUGGGCGAAAGCCUGACGCAGCGACGCCGCGUGAGGGAUGAAGGUCUUCGGAUCGUAAACCUCUGUCAGCAGGGAAGUACGGUCACUGUGCUAAUCAUCAGUGUAUUGACGGUACCUGCAAAGGAAGCACCGGCUAAAUCCGUGCCAGCAGCCGCGGUAAUACGUCGGGUGCGCGCGUUAAUCGGAAUUACUGGGCGUAAAGCGCUCGUAGGCGGGAUGUCAAGUCAAGGGUGAAAGCCCCGGGCUCAACGGGGGAACUGCAUUUGAAACUGGCAAACUGGAGUGUGUGAGAGGAUAGUGGAAUUCCAGGUGUAGGAGUGAAAUGCGUAGAUAUCUGGAGGAACAUCAGUGGCGAAGGCGACUAUCUGGCACAUAACUGACGCUGAGGAGCGAAAGCGUGGGUAGCAAACAGGAUUAGAUACCCCUGUAGUC
rnacentral:rRNA from 1 species